CGGUGUUUUAUCUUAAUAGAGGAACUUGUCCUUUAAUCGAUAGUCCGCGUUAUAUCUAACCUUAUCUUAAGUUUAUAUACCGUUGUUGUUAGAUUACUUGUUUACAAAUUUUAAGUUUUCUUGAUAAAAAUUAUUUUUUGACUUCAAAUCAAGGUGUAGUAUAUGGUAGGGGUGGAGAUGAGUUACUUUGGUUUAUAAGCGGAAAAUUACUUGAAAUUUUUUUGUAAAGUUGGAUUUAUUAGUAAAUUUUUAUUAAUAGAAUUGAUUGAAAUGAGAUCUAGAACAUGUACAUAUCGCCCGUCACUCCGGUUUUAACAUUGGAUAAGUCGUAACAAAGUAGAGGUAAGGGAACUUGUCUCUAGAUG
rnacentral:rRNA from 1 species